rnacentral:rRNA from 1 species
AGGACGAACGCUGGCGGCGUGCUUAACACAUGCAAGUGGAGCGACGAACCAGGGCUUGCCCUGGGGCAGAGCCGCGAACGGGUGAGUAACACGUGGGUUACCUGCCUCGAUGACCGGGACAACCCGAGGAAAACUCGGGCUAAUACCGGAUGUGCCCGCAAGGGGAAAGGAAGCUUCGGCCUCCGCAUCGAGAUGGGCCCGCGGCCCAUUAGCUUGUUGGUGAGGUAAAGGCUCACCAAGGCUUCGAUGGGUAGCUGGUCUGAGAGGACGAUCAGCCACACUGGGACUGAGACACGGCCCAGACUCCUACGGGAGGCAGCAGUGGGGAAUCUUGCGCAAUGCGCGAAAGCGUGACGCAGCAACGCCGCGUGGGGGAAGAAGGCUUUCGGGUUGUAAACCCCUUUCAGUUGGGACGAAGCUUCGGCGGUGAAUAGUCGUCUGGAGUGACGGUACCUUCACAAGAAGCACCGGCUAACUACGCGCAGCAGCCGCGGU